rnacentral:rRNA from 1 species
UACGUAGGUGGCAAGCGUUAUCCGGAAUUAUUGGGCGUAAAGCGCGCGUAGGCGGUUUCUUAAGUCUGAUGUGAAAGCCCACGGCUCAACCGUGGAGGGUCAUUGGAAACUGGGAGGCUUGAGUGCAGAAGAGGAAAGUGGAAUUCCAUGUGUAGCGGUGAAAUGCGCAGAGAUAUGGAGGAACACCAGUGGCGAAGGCGACUUUCUGGUCUGUAACUGACGCUGAUGUGCGAAAGCGUGGGGAUCAAACAGG